GAUUUCAACUGAAAAAGUCAUCAAUAACAAAGUUGUAUAAAUCAUCAAAAUCUAUAACUUUUAUUUUGAUCAUUUCUUCAUCCGAUAAAGUGAUUUGUAAGAUUGUUCACAAAAUGUGCAUAUCAUAUAGUUUAUAAAAAUAUAUAGUUUAUAAAAAUAUCAGACAGAUGUACAUUUUGUGAGCAAUCUUAUAAAUAAUUUUAUCGGAUAAAGAAAUAACUAAAAUAGAAGUUAUAUAUCUUGAUGAGUUAUACAACUUUGUUGUUGAUGACUUUUUCAGUUGAAAUC
rnacentral:pre_miRNA from 1 species